UACGGAGGGUGCAAGCGUUAUCCGGAUUCACUGGGCUUAAAGGGUGCGUAGGUGGGUCCGUAAGUCAGGGGUGAAAUCUCCGAGCUUAACUUGGAAACUGCCAUUGAUACUAUAGAUCUUGAAUACCGUGGAGGUCAGCGGAAUAUGUCAUGUAGCGGUGAAAUGCUUAGAUAUGACAUAGAACACCAAUGGCGAAGGCAGCUGGCUAGACGAAUAUUGACACUGAUGCACGAAAGCGUGGGGAUCAAACAGG
rnacentral:rRNA from 1 species